UUUUGGUAAUGUGUAAGUUGUGCUAUUGUUAUUUUGGUCAGGCAGUUAAUUGGCCACCUAUGGCUGAGCACUAUAAAGCUGAGGUUUCAUUAGGACCUCUUCCUUUUCUGGCAUCUUCAGGAGUGGGAUCGAAGUCCAGCUGUUGCAGGCUGACUGUUGAAGUAAUUUGAUUCUUUUGUGUUUGAUGGUGUGCGUGCAUCUAGUGGUGAGUUUUUGUGUUUGGGCAUCAUUGUGUAUCAGUUUUUAGUCUAAAAUCAUAACUAUCAUAGGGAUAUUUUAGGUUAAUUUGUAUUUUACCUCAGAUGCUAUUUCAAGCUAAUUUAUGCUAAUCGCGAUUAGCAUGCUAUUGCUAGGUUUGCUAUGUUUAGGCUAAUUUUGGCUAUUUAAUGCUAUGUCAUGCUAGGUGUAGCCUAACUGAUAAUGUAUGGGCGCAAGCCAUAGGUUAGCUUCAUGUUUAGCCUCAUGUUUCAGUUAACUAUUAUUAAGGUUACAUGUAGCCCUGCUAAGUUAGCGAUGCUAAAUACCAUUGUGUUAACUGUAAGGUCAUUCAAGGACAUUAGCCAAAUGUCUUUUGUUUGCUUUCUUUAUUUCAGAACCACACACAUAAAUACAUACAAACUCUGAUCACACAUUGAUCAUUCUUACUCUGUGUUGUGGGUGUGAAGACUCAAUAAAGACUCAUUUCUUUGGACACCGUUUCCUUUUAUUGUUCUAAUCGGACAUUCUACAGUGGUUGCCACCGGAAACAUAGUCUCAGCAUCACAGCUCCUUUAACAAUUCUUUUCAUGGUCCUUCGAGCCGGAUUUGGCAAACUUCUCUAGUUAACAAUGGCAACACCAAAGAAGAGUGAGUCACCCACAACACAUGAAGACCCAGACAGAGACAGGUCAAACUCCCCAGGGCUUGAGAGGUGUGUCCGCAUCCUUUCUGAUGAGAAUGCACUGUUGAGGCGCUGUCUGGACCAAAUGAGGGAGAAAGAUUCUCAUUAUCACACUUCUUCCUACCCCCCUUCAAGGCGUAAUAGCAUGAGAGGCUAUGCUGCAGGCUCCAGAUCAAGCUCGCCGGUUUCACAAUGUAUGGAGACGUCUCCAAGAGAUCAACAGGAUCCGCGUCCUCCAUGGCAUAAAUUAGAACCGACAGCGACUGAGGGCAAGCUACAUGCAAGGGAAAGAGAAGUUGAUGAGAUAGCCAGAGGUCUAGAAAGGAUGGGGCGGCCAUCUAGCCGCGACCGCAGAUCUCCUGAUAGAAACUACCCAAGCAGACAGACAAGUCGCCGCAGAGAAUCACCUCCUCAUUACAGCUCAUCUUCACGGAAGGAUCCUUACCUGGAUUGGCCCCGGCAACAUCGUUCCCGCAGAUCUUCGCCAUCACGGGAACACCAGUAUUCAAGUAUACCUGCUGACUAUUGGCAUGACUAUUCAAGCCAAUACAAAUAUGACACUCCAAGGGGAUAUGAGUCAAGCCGACGCCGCGAACCCUCUUACUCACCUGGGCGUCAUUCUCGACAUCCUUCAGUGGAGAGAGAGCACUCAUAUCGGGGCCCGAAGCCAAAGAUUCCUGACUUCGUUCAUGAAGAUCCUCGUGAGUUCGCAAGACUCAAAGUUGCUCUUGAUAACCUUCUUCCGCCCGAUGCCACAGAGCGCUUCAAGUUUCAGAUUCUACUGGAUCACCUCAAACUGGAAGAGGCAAUGCUCAUCGCUGAUUCAUACAGUCACAGCAGGGAUCCAUAUACUGACACCAUGGAGGCUCUCACAGAGUUAUAUGGUCAACCGCACCAACUUGCACUUCAGCGCAUCUCCAAGCUCAUGGAGGAGCCGAACGUCAAGGCAGGUGACACUAAGGCCUUUCGUCAAUUCGCACUGAAAGUGCGCGCUUUAGUAGGGAUGUUGGAGCAACUUGGCAGCAGUGGAAGAACCGAACUGUGGUGUGGAUCUCAUGUUUCACGGCUUCUGGGAAAGUUGCCUCAUGAUUUAAGAGCAAGCUUUAGGAGGUAUAUCAAUCCCAUAAGAACUCCCAUUCCAACUCUUCUCGACCUAGCUGACUGGCUAGAAUAUGAGGUAAGGGUGCAAGUUGAUGGUUCACAGUUCACUGGUGAUCACGGUAAGGAACAUCAGAGCUACAAAGAACACCGCAAGGACCGAAAGUCACAGUCCACAAUGGUUCUUCACAACAGUGAGCCAAAAGAGUGUCCAUCUCAGUUACAGUCAAGUAGUUCAGAUCAGCCACGAGAAAAGCCCAAGAAAUUCUGCCCAUUUUGCAACACACCUCAGCACUAUCUGAAUCAGUGUGCAAAUUUUCAGUUACUGUCCAAGGAGCAGAUCGAGAAAUGGAUCCGGGCCAAUCAGAGGUGUUGGAAGUGUGGACGCGAACACUUCUCUUCCGAGUGCACUUUGAAGGCUAAAUGUAAGAAAUGCGACAAGCGACAUCUUGAAAUCCUUCAUGAGGUGAACACCGGAGGUAGCGGUAAGACCACCACUUUCAGGAAAGCCACAACUGGAUCCAUGGAGCGUGCCAAACCCACCAGCUCCACUGCUGAAACCCUCUAUGUGGACAGACCUACUGGUAGCAGCAGGGUGCUACUGAAGAUGAGUCGGGUCAUCCUAAAGAAUGGUGAGAACUCAUUGGACACAUAUGCACUGCUAGAUGAUGGCUCGGAGCGCACCAUCUUACUGUAUGAAGCGGCACAACAGCUCGGCCUACAAGGUUUACCUGAGGAGCUGUCCUUGCGUACAGUGCGUCAAGAUGUGCGAGUCAUCCCUGGAGCCACAGUGUCGUUCACAGUUUCACCUGCAAACCAACCAAGUAAGACCUUCCACAUUCAAAGAGCAUUCACAGCCAAAGAGCUAGGUCUGGCACCCCAUACUUACCCUGUUGCGGCCCUCAAGAAGUCAUAUUGUCACUUGAAGAACUUACCUCUGCAGCCCAUUGACCGUGCGCAGCCCUUGCUGCUCAUUGGAUCGGACCAUCCACACCUCAUAACCCCAACUGAACCUGUUCGCCUGGGCCCACCGGGAGGGCCGGCUGCGGUCAAGACCAAGUUGGGAUGGGCACUCCAAGGUCCUUCUAAGCUGCUGAGGCACAGCCUGACCACUCAGCAAUGCCUUUGGACAUCGAGCACUCCGACCACCGCUGAGUUACUCGGUCAUGUCGAAAAGCUAUGGCAAUUAGACACUUUGCCUUACCGGAGUGAGAAGCUUGUGACACGCUCAAGACAAGACACAGAGGCAGUACGUAUUCUGGAGGAGAAGACCGUUAGGGUGACGGUAGAGGGAGUUCAGCGGUACGCCACUCCUCUGCUCUGGAAAAAGGACCUCCCCCCACUGGUUGCGCCUAAGGAAGCUGUGAUGGCCCAACUGCGCAGUACGGAGAAGAGGCUGGCUGGGGAUCCUGAUAAGGCGGCUACCUACAAGGGUGAGAUCAAGAAGCUGGUGGAAGCUGGGUAUGUGAAGAAGAUACCCCUGGAUGAGGCAGCUAGUAGUCCGGGGUGGUAUAUCCCCCACCACAUGGUCCACCAUAAUGGAAAGAAUAGAAUAGUGUUCAACUGUUCUUUCUCCUUCAAGGGCAUCAGCUUGAAUGAUCACCUGCUCCCUGGACCUGUGCUGGGUGCUACCCUAAUAGGUGUUCUCAUCCGAUUCCGUGAACAUCCCUUUGCGAUCAGUUCGGAUAUAAAGGGCAUGUUUCAUCAAGUCCGCCUUCUCCCAGAGGACCAGCCACUCUUGAGAUUCCUUUGGAGAGAGAUGAGGAGGAACGACCCCCCGGACAUCUACCAGUGGCAGGUCCUGCCUUUCGGCACUACAUCAAGCCCCUGCUGUGCCACAUUUGCUCUCCAGAAGCAUGUGACUGACCACGCAGGACCUGGAGACAAGUUGCGCACAUCAGUGGAACAAUGCUUCUACGUGGACAAUUGUCUACAAAGUCUACGUACUGCUGAAGGAGCGAAACAGCUGGUGGAUGAUCUUCGCAGUCUUCUGGCCAAGGGUGGUUUUGACCUGCGACAAUGGGCCAGCAACUGCCCUAGCAUAAUCAGCCACCUGCCCCCCGAGUCCAGGUCAGAAAGUAGCGAACUCUGGUUCAACCACGAUACAGCUGACCCAGAGGAGCGCACCCUCGGACUAAUAUGGCACUGUCAAUUAGACAGCAUCGGCUUCAAGCAUGGCCAGCUGGAGCUGGACCCUCAGCCCACAAUGCGAAGCAUUUACAGGACCCUCGCUAAGCAGUACGACCCACUUGGCUUCAUUGUGCCCUUCACCACUAGGGCCAAGAUCUUGGUACAGCGACUCUGGGAUCGUAAACGGGAAUGGGAUGAUCCAGACUUACCUCAAGAUCUCCUGCAAGCAUGGUCUUCCUGGGUGGAGGAACUUCCGCAGCUGUCCAGCAUUACACUGCCUAGAUGCUACACCGCAGGAGAACUGGAUCUCACUACCUGCAAUCGGAGCGUCCACGUCUUCUGUGAUGCGUCUGAAAAAGCAUACGGCUCUGUGGCGUAUCUUCGCACGCAGGAUGGCAGUGGACGCACCCAAGUUGCCUUCAUUGCAGCCCGGUCAAGAGUGGCCCCCAAACGGCAACUAUCUAUUCCCCGGCUGGAGCUCUGUGCUGCCGUGACAGGUGCUCAACUGGCAUCAGUCCUGAAGAGAGAGUUGACCCUGGAUAUCCACUGCUACACCUACUGGACCGAUUCAACGACAGUACUUACCUGGCUGAAUUCCGAAUCCUGCAAGUACAAAGUCUUCGUGGGCACUAGGAUUGCUGAGAUUCAGGAAUUGACAGAUGCUGAAACCUGGCGCUAUGUCGACACCCAGAGGAAUCCAGCUGAUGACAUUACAAGAGGGAAGACCCUGUCACAGCUGGCAGAAUGCCCCCAUUGGUUCCAAGGCCCAGAUUUCCUUAGACAGCCAGAAACUUCAUGGCCUGAACAGCCAUCAGGAAAUCCUGCUGAGGUCCCUGAAGAGAUGCGGAAACAAACCUUUUGCGGAGCCACAACCGUCGACAGUGGUCCACCUCUACUUGACAUCGGUCAAUACAGCACCUUCCAGGAACUCCUUGAAGCGGUAGCCUGCUCACCUCACGGGGUGGCUUCUGAUACGGAGAGUACGUCAGCGGCUGACUUAAGGAAAGCUGAGCUGGAUGUUCUUCGUCAAGCCCAGAUCGAAAGUUUCCCAGAUGACAUGACACAGCUACUGUCUGGAAACCCUGUCACAUCAAACAGUAAGCUAGUCACGCUAGCCCCUGAGCUUGACCCCAACACUCAGCUCAUUCAUGUUGGAGGCCGUCUGCGUAGAUGUGAUCAGCUAAGUCAAGAAGUACAGCACCCAAUUGUACUUGAUCCUUCCCAUCCUCUCUCAAAGCUGAUUAUUAAGCGCUACGACCAAGACCUGCACCAUCCUGGUCCGGAGAGAGUAUUUGCGGAGAUCAGGCGGCGCUUUUGGAUCCUGAGAGGCAGGCAGGCAAUUCGCAAAUUCCAACACAGUUGCCCCGAAUGUCGUAAGUGGCGCGGAACGCCUGAGGUCCCAAGAAUGGCCGAUUUGCCCCCCUCCAGUCUCCGGCUCUACAAGCCAGCAUUUUACUCCACCGGAAUCGACUGUUUUGGUCCCUUUCAGAUCAGAGUCGGGAGGCGAAAUGAAAAGCGCUGGGGCAUAUUGUAUAAGUGCCUUACUACCAAGGCAGUCUACAUUGAUCUGCUAGCAAGCAUUGACUCUGAUUCUUUCCUCAUGUCACUCCGGCGAUUCGUGUCAAGAAGAGGAAAGCCACAUGAGAUUCUCUGUGAUAAUGGAACGAAUUUCAAGGGUGGAGAUACCGAACUGAAGGAGGCAUUUCAGGCCCUCCAACCAGCUCUGAAGGAGCAGCUGACUGCACAACAGAUCGCUUUCCAGUACAACCCGCCAAGUGCUCCCCACUUUGGCGGCUCUUGGGAAAGGGAAAUACGGUCCAUAAAGGCAGCACUGUACACCGUUGUUGGAGCGCAGACCGUGCCAGAAGAAGUACUCAGGACAGUCCUGGUUGAGAUUGAAGGCAUUCUUAACUCCAAGCCUUUGGGUUACGUAUCCUCAGACGUCUCAGAUCCAGACCCCGUGACUCCAAAUACUCUUCUCAUGGGGCGGCCCGACAGCUCUCUACCUCAGGUGAUCUACCCAGAGUCUGAGCUACUCACUCGCAGGAGAUGGCGGCACAGUCAAGUUCUGGCUGACCAGUUUUGGUCCAGAUUCAUCCGACAGUACUUGCCUGCCCAACAGACACGUCAGAAGUGGCAAAAGGAGAAAGACGAUUUGACCGUCGGCACAGUCGUAAUGAUUGUGGAUCCUCAGUCUCCAAGGGCCCUCUGGCUUGUUGGAACAGUGAAGACGGUCUGCCCUGGCUCCGAUGGAAGAGUAAGGGCAGCAGAAGUUAAAGUGAAGGAUCGCACCUAUCUUCGCCCGGUGGCUAGACUGAUUAAGUUGCCUGCAUUUCCAGACGACCAUGGAGAGAAGGACUUUUAGAAGCAAAUCCGUACAACAGAUUUGGGGGCGGCUGUACAAAAGCCCAUCGAUUCAUAUUAUUUUGGUAAUGUGUAAGUUGUGCUAUUGUUAUUUUGGUCAGGCAGUUAAUUGGCCACCUAUGGCUGAGCACUAUAAAGCUGAGGUUUCAUUAGGACCUCUUCCUUUUCUGGCAUCUUCAGGAGUGGGAUCGAAGUCCAGCUGUUGCAGGCUGACUGUUGAAGUAAUUUGAUUCUUUUGUGUUUGAUGGUGUGCGUGCAUCUAGUGAACCACACACAUAAAUACAUACAAACUCUGAUCACACAUUGAUCAUUCUUACUCUGUGUUGUGGGUGUGAAGACUCAAUAAAGACUCAUUUCUUUGGA